GGAGGUAUAGCUCAGUGGUAGAGCCCAUGCCUAGCAUGCACAAGGUUCUGGGUUCAACCCCUAGCACCUCCG
rnacentral:tRNA from 1 species